UAUUCGUUGGUUUAAAUCAAACCUGUUAUGAUUUAAGGUAACGAAUCAUCACCAACCACGCUAUCUGCCGAGCUUGACUCCGGGUAGCGUGGUUAUUUU
rfam:Streptococcus agalactiae LMG 14747 ctg7180000010245, whole genome shotgun sequence.